AGCGCUGCGUACCUCACCUGUAACAUCCUCCGCUGCUGCAGGCACGUCCGCCAUCGUCAAACGCCACGGAGAGUUGCGGCCGGAAAUGAAUCAAGAUACUUGUGACGAUCCUCCGAUAAGAAAAAAGCGGAGAACGCCAUGCCAUGAAAGAUGAAAAGAGAUCAAUGAUCCCAUUGAAGCAGCGGUGAUGUCACUUCGGCAAUUCUUGGAUCCAUCCUUACGGUAUUGACAAGUAUUCGUCCGCUUAUCGCAGAUGCCUCGAGGUGGAUGAACCUUAUCGCCGGCGAGAUAUCGAUCGCAGUUCGCGGCAACACCGGAACGUAGGAUAUCACGUGCGCACCGAGGACGAAGGCUCAAGACGGCGACGCACGGCGAUGUCCCAUUAGCAUGCAGGACUCGCGAACCAGCGUUAGACAGUGAUCACGAGUGCAGUGCAAUGCAGCGAAGCGAAUGAAGAGCGAUGCUGGAUGAACUGGAUGCUGAGGAGGCAGAACGGGUGCGAGAUGCAUUUGGGCCAGGAACGAUGGACCUGGGUUUGGUUGUCGGUAGAUACCAACACGCAUUGAUGAGUGCACAAAGCCACUCAAAGCCAUUACAUGAGUGCAUGCAGUAAUUGGACGUAAAUCGCAUUGAUUGCCGAUGACACAAGUCAUUGUGUAAUUGAUAAUGCGAGAUUUCCGAGAGAAAUCUACGGAUCGAUGAUGCGCGGUAUUAAUUAAUAAGUAGGGAUCUGUGCCUUAUUUAACCAUCCACUGCGAGGAAUGAUUCAUUGCUGCGAAAGAAUGCUCUCGAGUGUAUCUCGAAUGCACCGCGCGAGCUUGGAGCAUCCGAUUAAAAAAUUCAGUGAGAACGGAGGCGAACUCUAAACUUAGAAUUUAUCUCGGAGAGCCUUCAUUCCUGCUUACCACAUCGGGAAUCAUCUCGCGCUUCGUAACGCGUUCCAAGCCGCAGUUUAUUUUUGUCCGUCUGUCCGAUGCGCUUAAAAGAAAGAACCUCGUUAUGCACGCGAUGAAACAAACCGACUGGAAGACUGCUGAAGGACACGGUUUUUCUCCAAAUAUUUCUACGUAUCUCGACAUAAAGGAGAAUUCAAUCGAUAGAGUAAUGCACAAAUUACCUUUCAUUUUUGGAUUCUGGAUGCAAGAUUAUGCAUCGUUAAGAAACUUUACUUGGUUAUUUCUACGGUGAAAGAAAUCGAACGUCGAUCGGGGAGAGAUUCUUCUGAUGAGACUUUUCGGAGAAACGUCUCCGGUGAAAUUCGCCCGCUAAUUUAGCGAUAAAUCGCUAUCUCAAGUUAAAAAGAUCGUAAGAAGUUGCUCGUCGACUCGUGGACUUAAAUAAUUUGACCCACGUAAGUCGUCCACGACAGUGAUUUAACGCGUUUCGAGUUUUGAGAGGUGGUUCCCCUUCAAAAGCACGGAGAUAUCGCGACUGGAAAGCUGGUACACAGCAAAUUACGAGACACCCGAUCGAAAGUUUGAGGUGUUAGACGCAUCGCGUGGAGAUGCGUUACGCUCUUGCGAAACAUCGCUCGCGGAGAGCGCGGAAUGAUGAUCGAGCGGGAGUUUCGCCACCUCGAAAACUGAUUCCAUCUACUCGCGGUUAUUAAAUUAUGCGGCUUUCACGGCACCGGCUCCGCGCGUGCGUCCUUCUUCGACAAUUAACGCGGCGAAUUAAUUAAGCAGACGAUUAAUCCGACGGAGUUGUUGCCACACGUCCGCGUCCGUCCGAGUGAAUUCGAACCGGGAGUUUAUUGAUCCGGGACGUUGAUCGCGGCGAUCAAUUUCAAGCUUUGGAUGAUCCGUUUCGCAUAAUUGCGCGUCUACGAAAUCGGAGUACCGUUGCCGUAGGCAACGAGCGCAUAACGCGAUUCGCCGGGCAUUGCGUCACAAGGGGAGAAAGCCACCACGAGAAUGCCUUAUUACGAUGCAGAAUCGUGAGGGAUAUGCAAAAUGGAUCGGUGAUAGCGUCUAAUAUCGCUGAACCAUUUGGCCGAUCGAUCACCCAAUUAACAUCCGCACGAAGUCAUCACUCACUCGGUGUUUCUGUAACGUCGACGCGAUGAAUUACGCAAACUUUAACGCGACGAAGUCGCGGAGAAGAACCUCUCUCGAUAAUUUCUUAGAGGCGUGCUCGAUUCUAUUUCGCUCGCAGUAGGAAACGACAGGCAACGGACCGUUUUCCCAAACGGUUUUUACCGAUAUACUCGAUACAUGUGCCUCGCAGUGGGAAACUGCGAGCGAUGAAGAUUGCGAGAAGGAAAAGUCUCGAAAUGCCGGCGGCGGUUCGAAGGUUCAAGGUGAAGGUACUGGAACUGCCAUUGUCAUUUCUCGUGCCAUGUGUGCGACACGUUUCUCCAAUAGCGCGAGGCCGUGCGGAAGAAAUGCACGGACAUUUCCUUUCCCGUGCAGCUUAUUCCUCGAAUAUGCCGAUGAAUGUUCUGUUGUGUUAACUCAUCAUCCAUCGACGAAUACAUGCGCGGCGCGCGUGGAUCGUUUCGUGCCUCCUCGCCACGAGCAAGUUUUCUCAUCUUCGAGGAGUCGCGAGGUACGGCUCGCGUAAGAGUCUUUCCGCUCUAUUUAAUUCGUUGCUGAAAACCGGCAUAAUCUGCAGCAAUUAAAGCGGGCAUAGCUGUGCAAUAAUUGGCGGGAUGUAACUUUUUUUCUACGAAAGUAUACCGUGAUUAUACACGGCCAUAUUUCUGUCCGGACGGUGUUUUUUCCCAAUAAUAUCUGGAGAAGACGCGACGAUCUUGAUAGAAAGCGGUCGAAAUUUCACGAUGCUUCUUGAUCCCACAGAUGUGUGUGCGAUAAGAUACAGAUUAUCUACGAAGAAAACGCAACGCGGACGAUUGUAGGGCGAAGCGAGCUGUUGUCUCACGUCCAUCAUAAAGUUCACAGACGUAAAAAUGAACGAACAAUCCGAAGAGAGAUUACGAUAGAUACAGUAUAUAUGAGUCAGCCGAUAUAUAUUAGAGAAGAACAGGGAGGACCAGUCACAUUUUCGAGAACCGAAUAACAGUAACGUCCGCAGUAAAGUCUCUCUCGCUUGUCACACGAGUGCACUACAACAUGCGGCAAUUUUAUCGUCGGACUUUCGAGUUUCUGUAUGAAUCUACGAGUGGGUGGGUGGUAUCAGCCAGACUCGCGCAGACCAGCGCACAGAUUUACUUUCGUUGCGCACACGAUAAAAACAAUGUGAUAAACCGCGAAGUGAACUUUCUACGCGCCUUCUCGCCUCGUCCGGGGCGAUGAGUAGAAAAUCUCGAGGAUGAGGCGUGUCCGCGUGCGGAGGACGCGGAUUUUAUUUGUACUUUCGGCCAAAAGUACCGAGACUGGUAACCGAAGCUGGUCGAGCAGCAGUCGGAACUACUUUUCCCCGCCUCGCGACGGCGCUUUUCAUUUCUCCACCGAUAGAUCCGCUCGGAAUCGGUGAAUGGGGAUCUUCGCUCGUCUUCAUUAAAGCGCGGAGAGGGAAAGAAAAAAAAAAAAGAGGAUUCCGCCCCUUCCGCGGCGCCGCGGGAUCACGGGAUCUUCCGCUCUGGAAGCGGGAUUCUGCGACCGAUUGCGCUUUUAUCUCCAGCAAUAAAUCACUCGCUCUCACUGCCGUUAUAUUUUGCGCUAAUUAUAUAGAAAGUCUGAAAAUGAGCGGCAAAUGCAUUAUUAAUUCCUCUAACGGUACUAAUUGCCGCGAUAUUGUUCGGCUGUGUCUCUCUUUCUCUCUCCCACCCUCUCCCUCUCCCUCUCUUUCUUUUUCAUUCUCCUCACAUCCGGAAACUAAUUUUGUAUGUAUACAAUGUGAUCGCGCAUCCUCCCGGCGCGUAUAAAGCGUCUGUUCUCUCGCUGAGUGAGGCAAUUAUUUUUUUCGCAACUUUCUCAAAUCAGACGUUUCUUGCGUCUGCUUAUUGUCCUUUCGGAUUUCGAGCAAAUCGCGAGACAGACGUGAACGACGCAAAUAUAUCGCGAUUUCUUUUCUUUUUUAGGGGCUGGAGGGGCUUCAUCGUCCACGUUUAUGCGAAUUCGACGACGGAGCUCAGCACGGUCAGGCCGAUUGCAUCGCAGAAUUUAUCUACGCGCUACGUCGAAGCAUGGGAAUGCGCCUUACGUAGCGCGAAAGAGUAACGUACACGCGACCGUCGACGCGCGUAUCCCGCAGUGGAUCAAGAGCGCAAGACUCCGCAAGAUCCGCUUGAGACUUCACACACGAAGCGGGCCUUACGAACGAUCCGCUCCAACUCCGCAGCGCCGCUCGUGCUGCACCUCGACCGAAUCCCGCGCGAUGUUGAAUUCACGCACCGAUAUCAUCUGCUGCUGCGACCGAUAAUUUAUGAUGAUGAUGAUGCCAUUUAGGAUGGAACAUCCAAAGGCUGGUAUUUUGUAGUUACACACGUAGCGCCGUAACUUGAAGCUUCAAUAACAAGCUUUGGUGUAUAAUCGAUUCUGGCGCAUCGAGUUGUCACGAAGCAUCCUGAACGCGGAUAAUACGCGACACUGAAACCCACGAUGUAAGAAUUUCCUUGCGAGAAGCAUGAGUGUGGUAAAUAAACGAUAAAACAGCCAAGCGUAAGUCGCCAGUAAAGCCGUUAUAAAACUCCGCACUAUGAUUAUCCGCUUAUGUUAAUCCUGAGCGUACAAUGUAACGCGUGUUUGGCUCUUUUUCAUUCUCAUAGACGCGCCCGUAAAUUUGAUUGAACCGUGGGUGACUAAUAUCGAGACACUUUGAUUGGAAAGAAAUUUAGCACGUCAAACAGAAAUCGUAAACUAAAUACCGAAGAACCGUUAAAUUCUGCCUAUCGAUACCGCUCGCCGAUAUAUAAUCAUCUGCAUGAUCAAUUGAUCAUCCACUUUUUCAUUUUCAGUAAUUAAGUUAAAUUAGAACACGCUCUACAUAUUCAUGGUCCAAGGUUGCGAUCGUGUAUCUCAUCAACUCGCAGCCCAAGGAAGUAGACAACCCGAGAUACUUCUUUGCGAUGAAGAGUAUGGUGUGGCUGGCUGACAAAAAAAAGAGCUGGAGACAAGUUUACAAAUUUUUAAGUGGGCCAAGUUGCAUAUUGUUUUGUACGUGCAGCAAAAUAGAGGUUUAUUUUAUUUUAUAAAAUUAUCGCACCUUGCUCGGUGAGAAGUUUAUUGAAGUCAUUUAUUGAACGUCAAUCUACAUGUAUCUUCAAUGUUUCAUGUAGGAAAAAAGAAAAUAUAAGAUUCUGUAUAAAGUAUUUAAGGGGAUUUUAUGCUGAUAUUCAUCUUGUUAAUGACAUAUUGAGUUACACAAUAUAUUACAAACUAUUAUAAGACAUGCAAAUAUUUAAUAAUCAAUUACAAAAAAUUGCGCUUUAGAUAUAGAUAUAAAGAUAUAUAUGAUUUGUUUUACUCUUUAAUAUAGUUUGUAGAAAGUAGAAUCCUAUAUCGCUUGUACUUUAAAUCAUAUGAAAGUAACAUUUAGUUUCUAUUUAGUUUCUAUGAAAUAUGUUACUUUAAAUAUCUUAAAUUAAAUAUCGUUAUUCAAUAUUUGACUGUCCAGACAACAUACAUGUUUAAAAAGUGUUUUAGGGAUAAAAAGGGUUUUAAGAGAUAUUUUACGUGUCCUGGACAUUUUUUAAAUGUCUUCAAAAUGUAUUUCAAACGAUUGUGUUGUUUAGAAUACUUUCUUCUUAUACUUUCUUGUUAUACUUUGAACUUUGGAUUUUGAUUGUUCUCUUGUUUUUUUCUUUUUGUCACUUCUGUGCCACUAUUUUUGUUUCACAUACACGCACAUACAUACACAUAAUAUCUACACUGUUCUUU